rnacentral:rRNA from 1 species
AUUGAACGCUGGCGGCAGGCCUAACACAUGCAAGUCGAACGAGUGGCGGACGGGUGAGUAAUGUCUGGGAAACUGCCCGAUGGAGGGGGAUAGCUACUGGAAACGGUAGCUAAUACCGAAUCGCAUCGGAUGUGCCCAGAUGGGAUUAGCUAGUAGGUGGGGUAACGGCUCACCUAGGCGACGAUCCCUAGCUGGUCUGAGGGGAUGACAAGCCACACUGGAACUGAGACACGGGCCAGACUCCUACGGGAGGCAGCAGUGGGGAAUAUGGCACAAUGGGCGCAAGCCUUAUGCAGCCAGGCCGCGUGUAUGAAGAAGGCCUUCGGGUUGGAAAGUACGUUCAGCGAGGAGGCGUUACUCGCAGAAGAAGCACCGGCUAACUCCGUGCCAGCAGCCGCGGUAAUAC